UACGGAGGGAGCUAGCGUUGUUCGGAAUUACUGGGCGUAAAGCGCACGUAGGCGGCUUUGUAAGUUAGGGGUGAAAGCCUGGAGCUCAACUUCAGAAUUGCCCUUAAGACUGCAUCGCUUGAAUCCAGGAGAGGUGAGUGGAAUUCCGAGUGUAGAGGUGAAAUUCGUAGAUAUUCGGAAGAACACCAGUGGCGAAGGCGGCUCACUGGCCCGGUACUGACGCUGAGGUGCGAAAGCGUGGGGAGCAAACAGG
rnacentral:rRNA from 1 species